rnacentral:rRNA from 1 species
UACGUAGGGGGCGAGCGUUGUUCGGAUUUACUGGGCGUAAAGGGCGCGCAGGCGGCUCAUUUUGUCAGGCGUGAAAGCCCCGGGCUUAACCUGGGAACUGCGUUUGAUACGGAUGGGCUAGAGUUCGGGAGAGGAGAGUGGAAUUCCCAGUGUAGAGGUGAAAUUCGUAGAUAUUGGGAAGAACACCGGUGGCGAAGGCGGCUCUCUGGACCGAGACUGACGCUGAGGCGCGAAAGCGUGGGGAGCAAACAGG